GAACCACAUUGGCAAAGUGAAAUCUUGCUCUUUUCACUCCCGUCGAAGAAGCAGGGGCCUUGAUGGCCGGGGGUGAGAGACAGAGAAGCCGCCGCCUCUGGCUCGAAGCAGCCGCGGAAGGCGAGCCUUCCCGGCGCAGCUUGAAAAUCCUUGGCACGGCUCCAGGAUGGCCUGGCCCGGCUCCCUUCACCUUCUGUGUGCAAUUUUAACCCUUCUAAUGCUCGGAUAAGACUGCAGAUCUCCUGACCUCCCUUGAAUGAGAGGAAUAGAGCAGAAAGUAUACUAAAGUUAGUGAAAUAAGAGCCAAGUUUCCAGAUGGGAAGAGAUUGAAGAGAUGCCAUGGAUAGGUUGGCUGAAAAACCUUUUUUGUGGGCUAUGGGGGGGACUGGACUACACUGAAAAGUAAUUUAAAUUGUGAACAAAUACCUGAGGAAGUUGAAGUGUUUGAGAAAAGGAUCCUUUGCCCCGAGGGAAUGGGGGUCUCUUUUCUGGAGACUGGAAAGAUGAACAGAGACAUUAGAUGGAAAAGAAUUUUUAUCUUUGAACAGCUUGCCCUUAAAAGCAAUAUGCCAGGAGUUUUUUGAUGUGACCCAUAACACAGAGCUCUGGAAAGACUGUGAAGAUGGGAGGAGUUCCACGAUUUGCAGAUUUUUCCGGGCAGAUGCAAAUUGUGAAAGUAAAGACACACUCUAUGGCUAAAAUAAAAAAGAACUUUUCUCUCUAGAGUGAACUGAAAUGAUUAUUUAAGUGGAAAACUGACUGAAGUGUUUCUGUAUCUUGUUGUUAAGAAAUAUGGAAGGUGGGGGGGAGGAGGGAGUGAUCUGGAAAUCUUAUUCCGAAUUUCUUAUUUUCUCUGUGUUAUUAAUAAAUUCCUUCUUUAUAUCCUU